rnacentral:rRNA from 1 species
GACGAACGCUGGCGGCGUGCUUAACACAUGCAAGUCGAACGGAAAGGCCCUGCUUUUUUGGGGUGCUCGAUUGGCGAACGGGUGAGUAACACGUGAGUAACCGGCCCUUGACUUUGGGAUAACUUCAGGAAACUGGGGCUAAUACCGGAUAGGAGCUCCUGCUCCAUGGUGGGGGUUGGAAAGUUUCGGCGGUUGGGGAUGGACUCGCGGCUUAUCAGCUUGUUGGUGGGGUAGUGGCUUACCAAGGCUUUGACGGGUAGCCGGCCUGAGAGGGUGACCGGCCACAUUGGGACUGAGAUACGGACCAGACUCCUACGGGAGGCAGCAGUGGGGAAUAUUGCACAAUGGGCGGAAGCCUGAUGCAGAAACGCCGCGUGCGGGAUGACGGUCUUUGGGUUGUAAAACGCUUUAGCCUGUGACGAAGCGGGAGUGACGGUAAUGGGUAAAGAAGCACCGGCUAACUACGUG